rnacentral:misc_RNA from 1 species
UGGUUCUGGCAUCGAUGAAGAACGCAGCGAAAUGCGAUAAGUAAUGUGAAUUGCAGAAUUCAGUGAAUCAUCGAAUCUUUGAACGCACAUUGCGCCCCGUGGUAUUCCGCGGGGCAUGCCUGUUCGAGCGUCAGUACAACACUCAAGCUCAGCUUGGUCUUGAGCCCCACCGGCAACGGUAGGCUUUAAAGUCAGUGGCGGCGCCGCCUGGCUCUCAGCGUAGUAAUACACCCGCUGUAGAGCCCUGGCGGAUGCCUGCCAGCAAUCUUCCACUAAGUUUGACCUCGGAUCAGGUAGGGAUACCCGCUGA